rnacentral:rRNA from 1 species
UACGGAGGGUGCGAGCGUUGUUCGGAAUCACUGGGCGUAAAGGGCGUGUAGGCAGUCCGCUAAGUCUGAUGUGAAAGCCCGGGGCUCACCCCCGGAAGUGCAUUGGAAACUGGCGAACUCGAGUCCCGGAGAGGAGAGUGGAAUUCCUGGUGUAGCGGUGAAAUGCGUAGAUAUCAGGAGGAACACCGGUGGCGAAGGCGGCUCUCUGGACGGUGACUGACGCUGAGACGCGAAAGCGUGGGGAGCAAACAGG